UGAUUCUCUGGGUGUCCUUGGGCACCCUAGAGCCUCAGUUUCCCCAUCAGAACCCAGCUGGAUGCUAAUCCCGGUGGCCGGGCCUCGGCGAGGGGGUGGGGGCUCUGCAGUGGCCGGAGACAGGCACGGGGCCUGCUAUCUUUUCGGUGUCCACCGGGUGGCACUUCCUUCCUUCCUUCCGCCUUUUGUUUUGGGAACGUUCCAAAUCGCCUCCGGGAGAGAAAACCGAGCAGCCCACACGGGCAGCGUCUGGGGCCUGCACACGGCGUUCGAUAAUUGCUUGAUUGAAUGAACCGAUGCUCAACCGUGUGGCAAACAGGAUCAACGAGCCGGGGUGGCUCCAAGUACAAUGAGGAGGCCCAGGAGGGGGCGAGGGCGCUUCGUGGGGUUGUACUCGACAGCAGAAUAUAUACAGAUAUUUAAACUGAUCACCACGGAGCUACCCACCACCCGCCAAGGCCGAUUCUGCAGGUCACGAGGCUCCUGGCUGCCACUCGGUGUCUACCAGGCUCCAGAGGUACGUUGUUAAGCACCAUGACAGUGCUGGGCAACCUCACCACCAUCCAUCGGCAGAAUUUCAUUCCCAAACUGAAAGUCUGUCCCCAUGGAACACCAGCCCCCCUCUGCCCCUGCUCAGCCCCUAGGAAGUGGCUGCUGGCCUGGUGGAACUGCUCGAAGCUGUCUGCGCUUCUCUCCUCGGCCUAGGGUUCUCACGGGCCUCCAGCCUCCGGACCUCCUUCCUUAGGGCGGUGCCUGGUCCGAUGGAGCACAGCUUGCUCAUCAACUCACCUGCUCACCCUGCUCCGAAGUCAGACUAUCUCCUGGCCAGCUGUGACCAACGCUGCUGUGAGCAGGACAGAGACUGCCACACCCUGCUGCUCUCCCUCCUUUUGUGUCUAUUCCCAGUGGCAGGACUGCUGGGUCCUAGAGUGAUUCUAUUUCUAGUUCUUGAGGAUCCCACACACCGUGUUCCAGAGCGGCUGCACCCCUUCAUAUUCCCACCAGUUUCUCCAAAAAAAUAAAAGGAUACUGCCUUUGAUCA